rnacentral:tRNA from 1 species
CCCGUGGUGUAGUGGUUAACAUGCCUGCCUGUCACGCAGGAGAUCGCCGGUUCGACCCCGGAGAUCGGAA